AUUGAACGCUGGCGGCAGGCCUAACACAUGCAAGUCGAGCGGAGAGUCGGACGGGUGAGUAAUGCCUAGGAAUCAGCCUGGUAGUGGGGGAUAACGUCGGGAAACGAGAGCUAAUACCGCAUGCGAUAAGAUGAGCCUAGGUUGGAUUAGCUCGUUGGUGGGGUAAAGGCCUACCAAGGCGACGAUCCGUCACUGGUCUGAGAGGAUGAUCAGUCACACGGGAACUUAGACACGGCCCAGACUCCUACGGGAGGCAGCAGUGGGGAAUAUUGGGCGAUGGGCGAAAGCCUGAUCCAGUAAUGCCGCGUGUGUGAAGAAGGUCUUCGGAUUGUAAAGCACUGUUAUUUGGGAGGCGUGACCAACCCAUUAAGCAUCGGCUAACUUCGUGCCAGCCGCCGCGGUAAUUC
rnacentral:rRNA from 1 species